rnacentral:rRNA from 1 species
AACGAACGCUGGCGGCAUGCCUAACACAUGCAAGUCGAACGAGACCUUCGGGUCUAGUGGCGCACGGGUGCGUAACGCGUGGGAACCUGCCCUUAGGUUCGGAAUAACUCCCCGAAAGGGGUGCUAAUACCGGAUAAUGUCUUCGGACCAAAGAUUUAUCGCCUUGGGAUGGGCCCGCGUUGGAUUAGCUAGUUGGGAGGGUUAAAGCCUACCAAGGCGCGGAUCCAUAGCUGGUCUGAGAGGAUGAUCAGCCAAACUGGGACUGAGACACGGCCCAAACUCCCACGGGGGGCGGGAGUGGGGAAUUUAGGAAAGGGGGAAGAAGCAUAAACCUACGAUGCCGGUGAAGGAGAGAAGGCAUUAGGGUUGAAAAGCUUUUUUCCCCGGGAAGCUAAUGACCGUACCGGAAGAAAAAGCCCCGGCUAACUCCGC